ACGCUGUACACCACACAGAUCACGUCCGAACGAUUCACCUCCGCCCUCAGCUGGUCUACACUCUGCUCACGCUCUGCCGAGGGAUGAUGUGAUUACUUGCUUGGACUUAAACACUCUCCAUUCUGAAUUUAAGUCUAUUUUGGGCCUCGACAGAUGCCAUCCAGUGACUGUCUACAUCCAUCAACCUUCAAGUGCCACCUAGUGAGUGGGUGAAGACGAGCCAUGGUAAACUUCUUGGAUGACUGCAAUACUGAGACUUCCCCUCGUAUCCUUUCCUCUCGUAUGACCGCCACCAGCAUCACCACCACGACCGCCAUGACAACCACCACCACCAUCACCACUGGAGUGAGGGUGGCUGGUGGUGGGGCCAAGGUAAGCUGGACCAGACACACCACCACCACCAUCACCACCAUCACCACACAUGCAUCCUACAGUCACGUUUUUACUUAUUUAUUUUAUUUUUUUUCCGUCUCAAUCCCUCUUGUUACGAAUGCUGAGGGUGACCAUGAGCCCAAAAAGGUUAGUUAGGUGAAAAUAAAUGCCGCUUAUUAUUUUUCCAAGGAAUUAGAAAGUGCAGAGUUGAUAAUGUUUGUAGCUUGCACGUUACUCACACUCGUAUUAGAAUGUGUGUCGGGGAACAGGCUGUGUGUGGCGUCACCAGGGAACACCAUGAGUCCUUGGGUGUUACUGGAGUUACUCGAUGCAUUG